UUGAAAAUCAAAAUACCUUAAUUAAUUUGGCACUCUCAAUUCCAUUUAGAGUAUUAAAGCUAAUGUCGACUUGAAUUUGUGUAUUUUUAUCGACAAGUUUUAUUAUUGGCACUGAUGCUUUGUCCAACACCUUGAUUGAAUCAGAUUCCACAAGACCAGCAUCGAGGAGAGCUUGUUGUUAGACUACGUUACUGGAUUUGUUUCCUAUCACAGUGCAACAACAUCAAAAUCAUCAAAAGUGUCAAAUGGAUUAAAUGACUUUCAACAAGUUGAUUCAGCAGAUCAAAAUUUAAAUUUUGUGUCCCAACAGCCAAAAGUUCAAGUUGAUACAUCACCUAAACUCAACGAACAACAUAUUCUUCUCCAACUAGCUAAUGUAAUUGCCAUUAGCUUAUUGGAAUAAGAUUAGAAAAAGACUCAAGAAUAGUAAAUCCAAUGUUUUGGGAGGAGGACCCAUUGUUAGUCAAGCCACUUAUACCUAUGGAUGGUACUCUAAAUGGGGCAACUACAAAGAUCGUUUACUCCAACCCUAUGUAAUUAAUUGUAAAGUACCAAGGAUAAAAGGUUUUCCCAAAAAAACUACACCCGACUCUAUUUCCUUGGUUGAAUCAAAGUGUCAAAAACCUAGAAAUAAUCUUCGCGUCUUCAACAAUUGACCCGAAGUUAAACAAGUUUUUUACUGUAUAAAUUGUAAAUUAGAAGUCUUUUGCUACUAACAAUCAAUAUUUGAGAUAAAACUUGGGUUUAUAUCAGUUUAAUUUUGGCGCUUCCUACAGCAUUCAAUAUCAAUAAGUCUGUUAGAGCCAUCUGGUGAAUAUAUAAGAGCUAUUGGCAAUUUCGUAUUGCUAGAAACGGGAUGUCGACCUUCUUUUUUUGUGUAUCGAAGAUGCCCUUGACUCAACAAAUGACAUCGGCCGAAGCUCAUAUGGUGCAGUUCAUGUACAAGAAGCCUUUGAAUACGCCUACCUCAGCCUGAAUAAAGCAUGUGGUCCAACAAGCUCUAUAGUAGAUCAGACCAAAAGUUUAAUACGGCGAAUAAUACGAGUCUCGGACGAAGUGGUCGAAAUGAGGCUCAGAGUCAAAGAAAAAUUUCCAUCGCCUCCCACUCCUCUCUCACUUCACCAUCACAAUAUAAAUCACAA